rnacentral:ncRNA from 2 species
GGUCAUGAGCUCCAGCGCGUAGCCCCGGCUGGCUGGACGGCAACCCUCCGCACGGCGGGGUGCCCCGGGUGAGGACCUGGUCGUGAGCGGCGACGCCCACGGCAACGAUGC